rnacentral:rRNA from 1 species
AACAAACGCUGGCGGCGUGCCUAAUACAUGCAAGUCGAACGGGGAAAGCUUUCGGGUGAGUACUAGUGGCGCACGGGUGAGGAACGCGUGGAUAAUCUGCCUUAGAGUGGGGGAUAACUAGUCGAAAGAUUAGCUAAUACCGCAUAAGACCACAGGAGCUGCGGCACAAGGGGUCAAAGGUUUUUCGCUCUAAGAUGAGUCCGCGUAAGAUUAGCUAGUUGGUGAGGUAACGGCUCACCAAGGCGACGAUCUUUAACUGGUCUGAGAGGAUGAUCAGUCGCACUGGAACUGAGACACGGUCCAGACUCCUACGGGAGGCAGCAGUAGGGAAUAUUGCACAAUGGAGGAAACUCUGAUGCAGCGGCGCCGCGUGAGUGAUGAAGGCCUUCGGGUCGUAAAGCUCUGUCGCAGGGGAAUAACACAAUGAAUGUACCCUGUAAGAAAGGAUCGGCUAACUUCGUGCCAGCAGCCGCGGUAAUAC